rnacentral:sRNA from 1 species
GACGAGCUAUCCUCAUUCUACUUCCAACUCUCGGACCAAUCGUUUCGGCUUUCCAAAUUCUAAAUUUCAAAUUCUAAAACAAAAUUUCAAGAUGCCUUGCUGCCCUCCUUCCUGCUGCGGACCCUGCAAUAACGUGCCCUGCUGUGGCCCGCACAGUCCGCCCUGCGGUGCUCCGUCUCCCAUUCCAUGCUCCCCCGCGCCGGGCAUGUGCUGCCCACCUUUGCCCGAGGGCGGGAUCCCCGAUCCCCGUGUCUGGAACUACUACAACACACCCGUUACUUAUCCAUGUGGCUUUUAAGUGGAUCAGGCAGUCGAGCGGUGUCACAGUGCUUCCGUGCCAUGUCCUUGCAGAGAUAGUGUGAAUACGUUGCCCGAGCAAGCAAUUGUCCUUCAGCUUGAACCAGUCAGCAGUCUGAAUCCGAAUUUUGCUAGGAUUUGGUAACAACGAAGAGCAGGAGGUAGUAACUGGCGGAAUCCAGUUUAAAAAAUCAAAGCAGCUUGGCAUGGAAUUGUUAUUAGAUAUCUGGAAGUUUUUGACGAAUAAAUUAUAGAAAAUA